rnacentral:miRNA from 1 species
UGGGUGUGUGUGUGUGUGUGUGUGUGUGUGUGUGUGUGUGUGUGUGUGCGCGCGCCCCCCACCCCACACCCCAGCCCACACU